rnacentral:misc_RNA from 1 species
AACGAUUCGUCGUCGGCAUGGAGAGAAGGUGCAGGUAGUGUUGUUGGUGAUACUGAAGUUCGGUAUAAUUCGAGGUAUUCUGCAGCGGGAGGUGGUUACGGAGGUGGGCCGGCGGGGGUGGAGGUGAAAGGUAAAGAUGGUCAGAACUGGAAAUUUCAUGCGGUGGAGUUUGCUAAAGGAUUUGCGGAGAUGAGUGUGGAGUUUGGGAAGGGAGUGAGGGAUGUAUUGAAGCAGAGUGUGGUAAGAGAGGAUUCGAUACUUGUGAGGAAAGUUGGACCGCUGUGUUGUAAAGUUUGCCGGAGAUUGAGUUUUUUGAAUGAAUAUUUGCCGGAAGAUCGCGAUCCGGCACAUGCUUGGAGUGUGAUAUUUUUUGUUCUUUUUCUGGCUUCUGCAGUGCUUAUUGCAAGUAAUGAUAAUAUAUAUCCAACUACAUCGGUCAAGAAAGUGUGUGUACAUCCUCCAAGUGCUAGUCGAAUUUCGCUUCCAGACGGUAGACAUUUGGCUUAUCAGCAGCAGGGUGUUCCUGCUGAGCUGGCUAGAUUUUCAAUGAUUGCUCCGCAUUCUUUUGUCUCGUCUCGGAUUGCAGGAAUACCUGGCAUUAAGACUUCUCUACUGCAAGAAUAUGGUAUUCGCUUGGUAACAUAUGAUCUUCCAGGAUUUGGAGAAAGUGAUCCUCAUCCUUCCAGGAACCUUGAGUCAUCAGCCAUGGAUAUGCUACACUUAUCCUAUGCAGUCAAUGUCACCGACAAAUUCUGGGUGGUGGGAUUUUCAGGUGGAUGCAUGCAUGCUUGGGCCGCCCUUAGAUACAUCCCUGACAGGAUUGCAGGUGCCGUCAUGGUCGCUCCAAUGGUUAGUCCAUAUGAACCAAGAAUGACCAAGGAGGAGAAAAGUAAAAUGUGGAAGAAAUGGACAACAAAGAAGAAAAACAUGUAUAUAUUAGCUAGGAAGUUUCCAAGACUACUUCCUUACUUUUACCGAAGAAGCUUCCUUAGUGGAGUCCAUGGCCAGAUUGAAACACGGCUUGCCUUGUCUCUUGGAAUAAGAGAUAAAGCUUUGCUGGAGCAUCCAUUGUUUGAAAAGUUCUGGCAGAGAGAUGUAGAAGAAUCUGUUCGACAAAAGAAUGCAAAACCAUUUGUAGAGGAAGCUGUCUUACAGGUUUCCAAUUGGGGUUUUAGUCCUGUAGACCUCAAAGUACAGAGGAAACGCACUGGAAAGGGUAUUAUGCAUUGGAUUAAAUCUCUAUUUGGUCAAACAGAUGAAAUCUUGACUGGAUUCCUUGGUCAAAUACAUGUAUGGCAGGGAAUGGAAGAUAUGGUGGUACCGCCAUCCACAAGUGAGUUCUUGCAGCGAGUCCUACCAGAUGCAAUGGUACAUAGGCUCUUAUACGAGGGCCAUUUUACUUAUUUUUACUUUUGUGAUGAAUGCCAUAGACACAUAUUUAGCACUGUUUUUGGAAAUCCUCAAGGACCUCUUACCCCAGAACCAGAACCCGAUCAAUCUCCCAUCCAAAACGAUGGCGUAGAGAUGCAAGAUACAAUUCUGGGUGAUGUUGCCACUGAUGAAGAAAAUGUAUCUAUUGUAGUUAAUCCUGAUAAAGAGGAUUACAUCGACUAGCUUGGUCGCGAAGAUUGUCCAACUGUCCAUUAUCUAUAUGGACAGUGUAGUUCCUUCCUAGCUUUGUGAAUAAUACGAAGCAUAGAUUACCUAGGAGGAAAUAGUUACAGGAAAGAUCAGUUAUUAAUACAAUUUUAUGUAGUGUCUGAUCUACUUAUUAUUAUUACAAGAUCACAGCUAUAAAGAUGAGAGUCUCAUUAUAUUUUGAUUAGGCUGGGUUCUGUUUACAGUUACAUAUUUUUCUUUUAAACAUUUUUGUAUUAAAAGGUCCAAG